GAUGAAGAACGCAGCGAUAUGCGAUAAGUAAUGUGAAUUGCAGAAUUCAGUGAAUCAUCGAGUCUUUGAACGCACAUUGCGCCCCCUGGUAUUCCGGGGGGCAUGCCUGUCCGAGCGUCAUUGCUGCCCUCAAGCACGGCUUGUGUGUUGGGCCCCCGUCCCCGGUUUCCCCCGGGGACGGGCCCGAAAGGCAGCGGCGGCACCGCGUCCGGUCCUCGAGCGUAUGGGGCUUUGUCACCCGCUCUGUAGGCCCGGCCGGCGCCAGCCGACACCCAACUUUAUUUCUAAGGUUGACCUCGGAUCAGGUAGGGAUACCCGCUGAACUUAAGCAUAUCAAUAAGCGGAGGA
rnacentral:misc_RNA from 1 species